GUCUAUGGCCAAACCACCCUGAACGCGCCCGAUCUCGGAAGCUAAGCAGGAUUGGGCCUCGUUAGUACUUGGAUGGGAGAAAAUAAAGUAUACAAUUUUAUGUCAACAAAUUGACAACAUACACG
rnacentral:rRNA from 1 species